CCGAGUGUGGCGCAGUUUGGUAGCGCACGUGCUUUGGGAGCAUGGGGUCGCAGGUUCAAAUCCUGUCACUCGGACUA
rnacentral:tRNA from 1 species